GACGAACGCUGGCGGCGUGCCUAAUACAUGCAAGUAGGACGCAGUUGCGAACGGGUGAGUAACGCGUAGGUAACUACCUAUUAGUGGGGGAUAACUAUUGGAAACGAUAGCUAAUACCGCAUACUAGUAGAUGGACCUGCGUUGUAUUAGCUAGUAGGUAGGGUAAUGGCCUACCUAGGCAACGAUACAUAGCCGACCUGGAAGGGUGGUCGGCCAAAAUGGGACGGGGAAACGGCCCAGACUCCUACGGGGGGCAGCAGGAGGGAAACUUCGGAAAUGGGGGGAACCCUGACCGAGCAACGGCGGGUGGGUGAAGAAGGUUUUCGGGUCGUAAAGCUCUGUUGUUAAGGAAGCGGUACUUAACCAGAAAGGGACGGCUAACUACGUGCCAGCAGCCGCGGUAAUAC
rnacentral:rRNA from 1 species